UGGACAUAGUUUGCCCCUGUGGCUGCCUU
rnacentral:piRNA from 1 species